rnacentral:tRNA from 1 species
UGGGUUGUGGCUCAGUGGGUAGAGCACUCGCCUAGCACAUGUGAGGCCCUGGGUUCGAUCCUCAGCACCACAC